CAGGUCAAUAUGCUUUGCAGCCCUGUGGGGGCGCUACAGAGUGAAGCUCAAACCACCAAACUUUUCCUGGUAGAAGACUAAUCGUUUUUUGGAUUGAAAGAGUGAGUUGCUGUCAUUUGCGGAGAGAGCCGAGGAGGAAAGAAUAGCAGUUAAUCCAGGUUUUAAAAGCAUGUUCAGAGUGUGUAACUUGCAAACAUCCCUAAACCUGCUGGAAGAGUUAAACUAGUGCUCUUCUCCUCUCUAAACCCACACGCCGCUACGCAGUCUGUCCUCACCCGUUUCUCCCCGCUGGUCUCGCAUGGUUGUUCGCUAUAUGCUCUGUGUUUCUACUCCCAGAGCUUCUAUCACACUGCAGUCUGGAUCCAGCCCUGCAUGCCCCAAGCAGCAAAGGAGAGGACAGGUACAUGUCAAACAACCACCACAAC